rnacentral:rRNA from 1 species
AUACGGAGGGUGCAAGCGUUACUCGGAAUCACUGGGCGUAAAGCGCGCGCAGGCGGCUAUUUAAGUUGGAUGUGAAAGCCUACGGCUCAACCGUAGAACUGCAUCCAAAACUAUUUAGCUAGAGUGUGGGAGAGGAAGAUGGAAUUAGUUGUGUAGGGGUAAAAUCCGUAGAGAUAACUAGGAAUACCAAAAGCGAAGGCAAUCUUCUGGAACACUACUGACGGUGAGGCGCGAAAGCGUGGGGAGCAAACAGGAUUAGAAACCCUAGUAGUCC